rnacentral:rRNA from 1 species
GUCUACGGCCAUGCAACCCUGAACAAUCCCGAUCCUGUCUGAUCUCAGAAGCUAAGCAGGGUCGGACUUGCUUAGUACUUGGAUAGGAGACCACCUAGGAAGACUGGGUGCUGUAGGCA